CCGUACCACUUGGUUCCGCGUCGCUUCCCGCUCACGCAGUUAACGGCGAGUCCGACCGACCUGGGCGGGAGGCGGGACCCCGAGGGCUUCCUGGCGGAGGCGGGGAUAUGGCUCCUAGGUGAGACGCUCCUAGAGACACACGAAACUGAGCUCCUUGAGCUCUUUGGUCCUCAUGGAGUACAGCACUCUAUAGAGCGUUCUUGCGAGACUAGAAGACCGAAGCCCAGUGAGAUUAGGAAAUUUGCCCACAAUCGUUCAUCUGGAAAAACCUGAGGCUGGGAUUUGAAGUACAUAUGAGGGAACACGGACCAAAAUGGCAAGAAUUGUGUUAACAGGAAGCCAUUGAAGGAUUUGAAAUAAAGUAGCAGGGUCAGAUUUAUGUUUGGCGGCAGCGGAAAACAAACCAAAGAGCAGGAAUAGACUCUGGGAAACUACUGCAGUAGUCUGGGCAAGAUGGAGGUAGCAUGUGCCAGGAUGGUGAUGGAGAUGAAGAGAAAUGACAAAUUUAAGGGAAAUCUGGGAAGCAAGAUCAGCAGAGCUUCUUGAUAGGCUGGCCUUGGAAGGGGAGAAGAGGCGUCAGGGAUGAUCCCCAAGGUUUUGGCAUUUGAAGCUGAAUGGAUGAUGCUGCCAUUCACUGACUUCGGGACCCCAUGGAGGAGCAGGUUUGAAUAUUCUGAGACAAAUUCAAAUGAAUUCCAGGUGAUUGCGUAUGUCUAGAGCUUUGGGAGUUCUCAGCUCACAGCCAUGGCAUCUGUUGUUCACCAUUCUGGGUCCUGGCCUCUAAACUCCUGACCCAUCAACGUGUCUUAAAACAUAGAUCACGGGACACCUGGGUGGCCCAGUCGGUUAAGUGACUACUUUCGGCUCAAGUCACGAUCCCAAGGUCCUGGGAUGGAGCCCCACAUCAGGUUCCCUGUUCAGCAGAAGAGUCUGCUUCUCCCCUUAUCCAGUUGGCUCAUUUGGUGAAUAUCAUCAACCAAGACCCCAGGGUCUUUAUUUCACACGAACUUCCAUCAAGAUAAGUUUGCCUUUUCCACUACUUGCAAGUGAUUUUUUUUUUCCAACCUAUUUAAAACUCUGCUAAUGCUCUUUUGGUGGUUGUGGCUCAUCCUUCCAGACCUCUGAAAUAAUUUAAGCUCUUGAUUCUGGUUCCCACACAAAUAGCUCACACCUAUCGGCUCAUCUGUGCAUCUCAUCAGCCAAAUCCAAAGAUUCUCUGCCUGGGACUUCCAGACCCUUGAAGGGGGGGUCCUAGAAUUAGGGCCCCAAAAAUGUACACCUCUGUUUUUAUUAACCUCUAACAAAUUUAGCAUUUCCUGCAAGUAUGAAUAUAAGCAAAACCCCCGGUAGUAUUAGCAGGACCCAGGACUUGUCAUUGAGACACCACAGCUCUUUUCAUAUCCCACUACUUUUGUAGAAAUCUCGGAGUAUUGAGUACCUUUUAUGCUUAUUACUAUUUGGAGAAUGUUAGUAGUUAUUACACCUCCUGCUAGAUAUUGUUAUUAAAUAUAUUUUAAAAACA